rnacentral:misc_RNA from 1 species
UUUCCGUAGGUGAACCUGCGGAAGGAUCAUUCAUAAUAAGUGUUUUAUGGCACUUUUUUAAAUCCAUAUCCACCUUGUGUGCAAUGUCAGGGUUGGUCUCUUUUGAUCUGCCCCAAACAUCAACUAUUAUCUCAACUCUUUGUCUGAAAAAUAUUAUGAAUAAAACAAUUCAAAAUACAACUUUCAACAACGGAUCUCUUGGCUCUC